UCGGGUCAUCUCCGAGCGAGAGUCACAGCCUGCUUGCGGCUUCUCACAGCCUGCUUGCAGCUCCUCACUGACGGCCUCUGCCUUCCUGGUGCUGCUGUAGGGUCAUGCGCUAGCUUCCGGAACUUGAGAGGGACUAAAGCAGUGAAACAGCAGGGACUGAGGCCGCGAUACCUGAGGGACCUUUGUCUGAGGGAAGGCUCUUACCCUGCAGGAGUCUUUUGGCCUCUAGCCUGCUCUUAACCCUGGCUUUUUGCUCCUGUUUCCCCCCACCCCUACUCUUGACUCGGUGUUUCUCUGGCUUUAAUGAAAGGAAAUACUUUAAGAUGAGAUGAGAAAACUGAAGUCAGAAAGAUAAACUGAUAAGCCCAUGCUAGAAGAGAAGUGCGAGUAUCUGAUGUCAAGGGAAUGGAAAAAGGAGUUAAAAGACAUGGUCCCUGCAUUCAGGAACUCACUUUGGAGGACUUCUGUGAAAUUCUUUCGUGGAGUGCGAUGAGAAGAAAACAGCCUGUGGAUCCAGACAAACCUGGUUUCACAUCCUGAAUCUGAAGUAUUAGGUGUGCAAAUGUGAGUAAUUUACUUCUAACUGGGUCUAAUGUAAAAAUAUCCAGAUUGCAAGAUUAUUUUGAGUUUCAGUGAGAUAGCUGGUA